GGCGAGUGGGGCUAACUGCAGUCGACGCACAGCGAAGGUGCUUGCCCUUUCAGUGAGUGGCGAACGGGUGAGUAACACGUGGACAACCUGCCUCAAGGCUGGGGAUAACAUUUGGAAACAGAUGCUAAUACCGAAUAAAACUUAGUGUCGCAUGACACAAAGUUAAAAGGCGCUUUGGCGUCACCUAGAGAUGGAUCCGCGGUGCAUUAGUUAGUUGGUGGGGUAAAGGCCUACCAAGACAAUGAUGCAUAGCCGAGUUGAGAGACUGAUCGGCCACAUUGGGACUGAGACACGGCCCAAACUCCUACGGGAGGCUGCAGUAGGGAAUCUUCCACAAUGGGCGAAAGCCUGAUGGAGCAACGCCGCGUGUGUGAUGAAGGCUUUCGGGUCGUAAAGCACUGUUGUAUGGGAAGAACAGCUAGAAUAGGGAAUGAUUUUAGUUUGACGGUACCAUACCAGAAAGGGACGGCUAAAUACGUGCCAGCAGCCGCGGUAAUACGUAUGUCCCGAGCGUUAUCCGGAUUUAUUGGGCGUAAAGCGAGCGCAGACGGUUGAUUAAGUCUGAUGUGAAAGCCCGGAGCUCAACUCCGGAAUGGCAUUGGAAACUGGUUAACUUGAGUGCAGUAGAGGUAAGUGGAACUCCAUGUGUAGCGGUGGAAUGCGUAGAUAUAUGGAAGAACACCAGUGGCGAAGGCGGCUUACUGGACUGUAACUGACGUUGAGGCUCGAAAGUGUGGGUAGCAAACAGGAUUAGAUACCCUGGUAGUCCACACCGUAAACGAUGAACACUAGGUGUUAGGAGGUUUCCGCCUCUUAGUGCCGAAGCUAACGCAUUAAGUGUUCCGCCUGGGGAGUACGACCGCAAGGUUGAAACUCAAAGGAAUUGACGGGGACCCGCACAAGCGGU
rnacentral:rRNA from 1 species